rnacentral:rRNA from 1 species
AUACGGAGGAUCCGAGCGUUAUCCGGAUUUAUUGGGUUUAAAGGGUGCGCAGGCGGGAGAUUAAGUCGGCGGUGAAAUUUUGCAGCUCAACUGUAAAAGUGCCUUCGAAACUGGUUUCCUUGAGUGUAGAUGAAGUAGGCGGAAUUUGUGGUGUAGCGGUGAAAUGCGUAGAUAUCACGAGGAACUCCGAUUGCGCAGGCAGCUUACUAAACUACUACUGACGCUCAGGCACGAAGGCGUGGGGAUCAAACAGGAUUAGAUACCCUGGUAGUCCACGCAGUAAACGAUGAUUACUAGCUGUUUGCGAUACAAUGUAAGCGGCUGAGCGAAAGCGUUAAGUAAUCCACCUGGGGAGUACGUUCGCAAGAAUGAAACUCAAAGGAAUUGACGGG